rnacentral:rRNA from 1 species
AACGAACGCUGGCGGCAGGCUUAACACAUGCAAGUCGAACGGGCAUAGCAAUAUGUCAGUGGCAGACGGGUGAGUAACACGUGGGAACCUUCCUAGAGGUACGGAACAACGCAGGGAAACUUGUGCUAAUACCGUAUACGCUCGAGAGAGGAAAGAUUUAUCGCCUUUAGACGGGCCCGCGUAGGAUUAGGUAGUUGGUGAGGUAACGGCUCACCAAGCCUACGAUCCUUAGCUGACCUGAGAGGAUGAUCAGCCACACUGGGACUGAGACACGGCCCAAACUCCUACGGGAGGCAGCAGUGGGGAAUCUUGGACAAUGGGCGCAAGCCUGAUCCAGCCAUGCCGCGUGAGUGAAGAAGGCCUUCGGGUUGUAAAGCUCUUUUACCAGGGACGAUAAUGACGGUACCUGGAGAAUAAGCCCCGGCUAACUUCGUGCCAGCAGCCGCAGUAA